AGCACUAUAUUUAAACCUAUGGAUGGGACUUUUCCCCAUUCUUGGUUACGCUGUAGUGCAAAAAAAAUUCCUGACUUCUUGUUGCACAGCUGACUUGUGCCAUUUUGCUGUUGCUUUAUGGAGUUAAGGAACAUUU
rnacentral:snoRNA from 1 species